rnacentral:tRNA from 1 species
UACAUUUUAGUAUAUGAAGGUACAAAAGUUUUUGAUACUUUAGGAAAUAGUUUAAUUCUAUUAAAUGUAG